rnacentral:misc_RNA from 1 species
GAUGAAGAACGUAGCGAAAUGCGAUAAGUAAUGUGAAUUGCAGAAUUCAGUGAAUCAUCGAAUCUUUGAACGCACAUUGCGCCCGCCAGUAUUCUGGCGGGCAUGCCUGUUCGAGCGUCAUUUCAACCCUCAGGCCCCGCCUGGCGUUGGGGAUCGGCGCGGCCCUCUCCGGGCUGCCGGCCCCGAAAACUAGUGGCGGUCUCGCUGUAGUCCUCCUCUGCGCAGUAGCAACGCUCGCACUGGAACUCGGCGCGGCCACGCCGUAAACCACCCCACUUCUGAAAGUUGACCUCGGAUCAGGUAGGAAUACCCGCUGAACUUAAGCAUAUCAAUAAGCGGAGGA